AGAAGAAGUAGCUUUGAAAGUCUCAACUGAUUUUCAUGUAGCUGGUCGAGGAAGAGGUAGAGGCAGUAACAGGGGUCGUGGUAGAGGCAGAGGCCGAGGCAACAACGGCCAUGGAGCAGGAACAAGUAGCUAUGACUCGAGGUCCUUUGACAAAUCCAAAAUUGAAUGUUAUCGAUGCCACAAGUUUGGUCAUUUUGCAUAUGAAUGUCAAACUGA
rnacentral:misc_RNA from 1 species